UGAAUACGAGACGCUAAGGCGUCGAAGUAGUGUAUGUCAUACUUCCAAGAAAAGCUUGCACUGUCAUAAGUAAAAAAUGCCUGUACCAUAACCGACACAGGUGGGUAGGUAGAGUAUACUAAGGGGCGCGAGAUAACUCUCUCUAAGGAACUCGGCAAAAUAACUCCGUAACUUCGGGAGAAGGAGUACCUUAUUCUAUAAGGUUGCAAUAACAAGAUCCAAGCAACUGUUUAUCAAAAACACAGGUCUCCGCUAAGUCGUAAGACGAUGUAUGGGGGCUGACGCCUGCCCCGUGCCAGAAGGUUAAAGAAGUCGGUUAGCAUUAGCGAAGCUGGUAACUGAAGCCCUGGUUAACGGCGGCCGUAACAAUAACGGUCCUAAGGUAGCGAAAUUCCUUGUCGGGUAAGUUCCGACCCGCACGAAAGGCGUAAUGAUUUGGAUACUGUCUCGGAGAGGGGCUCGGUGAAAUAGACUUGUCUGUGAAGAUGCGGACUACCUGCACCAGGACAGAAAGACCCUAUGGAGCUUUACUGUAACUUGAAAUUGAAAUUGGACUUUAUUCGCGCAGUAUAGGUGGGAGGUGUUGAUUAUAAUCUUGCGGGAUUAUUGGAGCCAUCAGUGAGAUACCACUCUUGUAAUGUUAGAUUUCUAACUUUGAAUCAUUAUCUGGUCAAAGGACAGUUUCAGGCGGGCAGUUUGACUGGGGCGGUCGCCUCCCAAACGGUAACGGAGGCGUACAAAGGUUUCCUCUGAACGGGUAGAAAUCGUAUCUAGAGUGUAAAGGCAUAAGGAAGCUUGACUGUGAGACCUACAAGUCGAACAGGGACGAAAGUCGGUCUUAGUGAUCUGACGGUACUGAGUGGAAAGGCCGUCACUCAACGGAUAAAAGUUACUCUAGGAUAACAGGCUGAUCUCCCCCAAGAGUUCACAUCGACGGGGAGGUUUGGCACCUCGAUGUCGGCUCAUCGCAUCCUGGGGCGGUAGUACGUCCCAAGGGUUGGGCUGUUCGCCCAUGAAAGCGGUACACGAGCUGGGUUCAGAACGUCGUGAGACAGUUCGGUCCAUAUCCGGUGUAGGCGUUAGAAUAUUGAGAGGAGCCUUCUUUAGUACGAGAGGACCGAGAAGGACAUACCUCUGGUGUACCAGUUAUCGCGCCAACGGUAAACGCUGGGUAGCUAUGUAUGGAGUGGAUAACCGCUGAAAGCAUCUAGGUGGGAAGCCCACCUCAAGAUAAG
rnacentral:rRNA from 1 species